rnacentral:rRNA from 1 species
CCUACGGGGGGCUGCAGUGGGGAAUUUUGGACAAUGGGCGAAAGCCUGAUCCAGCAAUGCCGCGUGCAGGACGAAGGCCUUCGGGUUGUAAACUGCUUUUGUACGGAACGAAACGGUCUCUUUUAAUACAGGGGGCUAAUGACGGUACCGUAAGAAUAAGCACCGGCUAACUACGUGCCAGCAGCCGCGGUAAUACGUAGGGUGCGAGCGUUAAUCGGAAUUACUGGGCGUAAAGCGUGCGCAGGCGGUUAUAUAAGACAGAUGUGAAAUCCCCGGGCUCAACCUGGGACCUGCAUUUGUGACUGUAUAGCUAGAGUACGGUAGAGGGGGAUGGAAUUCCGCGUGUAGCAGUGAAAUGCGUAGAUAUGCGGAGGAACACCGAUGGCGAAGGCAAUCCCCUGGACCUGUACUGACGCUCAUGCACGAAAGCGUGGGGAGCAAACAGGAUUAGAUACCCGGGUAGUC